UUGAUCCUGGCUCAGGAUGAACGCUGGCGGUAUGCUUAACACAUGCAAGUCGAACGGGAUGCUUAGGCAUCUAGUGGCGGACGGGUGAGUAACGCGUGAGAAUCUGGCUCCAGGUCGGGGAUAACAGUUGGAAACGACUGCUAAUACCGGAUGUGCCGAGAGGUGAAAGAUUUAUUGCCUGGAGAUGAGCUCGCGUCUGAUUAGCUAGUUGGUGGUGUAAGGGACCACCAAGGCGUCGAUCAGUAGCUGGUCUGAGAGGAUGAUCAGCCACACUGGGACUGAGACACGGCCCAGACUCCUACGGGAGGCAGCAGUGGGGAAUUUUCCGCAAUGGGCGAAAGCCUGACGGAGCAAUACCGCGUGAGGGAGGAAGGCUCUUGGGUCGUAAACCUCUUUUCUCAAGGAAGAAGAAAGUGACGGUACUUGAGGAAUAAGCAUCGGCUAACUCCGUGCCAGCAGCCGCGGUAAUACGGAGGAUGCAAGCGUUAUCCGGAAUGAUUGGGCGUAAAGGGUCUGCAGGUGGAACUGAAAGUCUGCUGUUAAAGAGUUUGGCUUAACCAAAUAAAAGCGGUGGAAACUACAGAACUAGAGUGUGGUAGGGGCAAAAGGAAUUCCUGGUGUAGCGGUGAAAUGCGUAGAUAUCAGGAAGAACACCGGUGGCGAAAGCGUUUUGCUAGACCAUAACUGACACUGAGGGACGAAAGCUAGGGGAGCGAAUGGGAUUAGAUACCCCCAGUAGUCCUAGCCGUAAACGAUGGAUACUAGGCGUGGCUUGUAUCGACCCGAGCCGUGCCGGAGCUAACGCGUUAAGUAUCCCGCCUGGGGAGUACGCACGCAAGUGUGAAACUCAAAGGAAUUGACGGGGGCCCGCACAAGCGGUGGAGUAUGUGGUUUAAUUCGAUGCAACGCGAAGAACCUUACCAAGACUUGACAUCCUGCGAAUCCUGGUGAAAGCUGGGAGUGCCUUCGGGAGCGCAGAGACAGGUGGUGCAUGGCUGUCGUCAGCUCGUGUCGUGAGAUGUUGGGUUAAGUCCCGCAACGAGCGCAACCCUCGUUUUUAGUUGCCAGCAUUAAGUUGGGCACUCUAGAGAGACUGCCGGUGACAAACCGGAGGAAGGUGAGGAUGACGUCAAGUCAGCAUGCCCCUUACGUCUUGGGCUACACACGUACUACAAUGCUACGGACAGAGGGCAGCGAGCCAGGGAUGGCAAGCGAAUCCAGAAACCGUAGCUCAGUUCAGAUCGAAGGCUGCAACUCGCCUUCGUGAAGGAGGAAUCGCUAGUAAUUGCAGGUCAGCAUACUGCAGUGAAUUCGUUCCCGGGCCUUGUACACACCGCCCGUCACACCAUGGAAGUUGGUCACGCCCGAAGUCAUUACCCCAACCGAAAGGAGGGGGAUGCCUAAGGUAGGACUA
rnacentral:rRNA from 1 species